GACGAACGCUGGCGGCGUGCUUAACACAUGCAAGUCGAACGGAAAGGCCCUGCUUUUGUGGGGUGCUCGAGUGGCGAACGGGUGAGUAACACGUGAGUAACCUGCCCUUGACUUUGGGAUAACUUCAGGAAACUGGGGCUAAUACUGGAUAGGAGCUCCUGCUGCAUGGUGGGGGUUGGAAAGUUUCGGCGGUUGGGGAUGGACUCGCGGCUUAUCAGCUUGUUGGUGGGGUAGUGGCUUACCAAGGCUUUGACGGGUAGCCGGCCUGAGAGGGUGACCGGCCACAUUGGGACUGAGAUACGGCCCAGACUCCUACGGGAGGCAGCAGUGGGGAAUAUUGCACAAUGGGCGGAAGCCUGAUGCAGCAACGCCGCGUGCGGGAUGACGGCCUUCGGGUGGUAAACCGCUUUCGCCUGUGACGAAGCGUGAGUGACGGUAAUGGGUAAAGAAGCACCGGCUAACUACGU
rnacentral:rRNA from 1 species